rnacentral:rRNA from 1 species
GAUGAACGCUAGCGGCAGGCCUAAUACAUGCAAGUCGAACGGGAUCUGAGGGUAGCUUGCUACCCGCUUUGAGAGUGGCGCACGGGUGCGUAACGCGUGAGCAACCUACCCAUAUCAGGGGGAUAGCCCGAAGAAAUUCGGAUUAACACCGCAUAAUAAUACGCUAACACAUGUUAAUGUAUUUAAAUAUUUAUAGGAUAUGGAUGGGCUCGCGUGACAUUAGCUAGUUGGUAAGGUAACGGCUUACCAAGGCGACGAUGUCUAGGGGCUCUGAGAGGAGAAUCCACAACACUGUUACUGGGACACGGACCAGACUCCGACGGGAGGCAGCAGUAAGGAAUAUUGGUCAAUGGGCGCAAGCCUGAACCAGCCAUGCCGCGUGCAGGAUGACUGCCCUAUGGGUUGUAAACUGCUUUUGUUAGGGAAUAAACCUACUUAUGUAUAAGUAGCUGAAUGUACCUAAAGAAUAAGGAUCGGCUAACUCCGUGCCAGCCGCCGCUGUAA